GCCCCCGUGGGGUAGCAUGGACAUCCUAUAAGGUUGCGGACCUUAGGACCCGCGUUCAAAUCGCGGCGGGGGCA
rnacentral:tRNA from 1 species